rnacentral:tRNA from 1 species
AAAUAAGAAGCGAAAUAUCGCUAUCGGUUUCGACCCGGUCCUUGAUUAAACAUAAAUCCUUAUUUU